AGGACGUCCCUUCGGGGGCAGAGUGACAGGUGGUGCAUGGUUGUCGUCAGCUCGUGUCGUGAGAUGUUGGGUUAAGUCCCGCAACGAGCGCAACCCUUGAUCUUAGUUGCCAGCAUUCAGUUGGGCACUCUAAGGUGACUGCCGGUGACAAACCGGAGGAAGGUGGGGAUGACGUCAAAUCAUCAUGCCCCUUAUGACCUGGGCUACACACGUGCUACAAUGGACAGAACAAAGGGCAGCGAAACCGCGAGGUUAAGCCAAUCCCACAAAUCUGUUCUCAGUUCGGAUCGCAGUCUGCAACUCGACUGCGUGAAGCUGGAAUCGCUAGUAAUCGCGGAUCAGCAUGCCGCGGUGAAUACGUUCCCGGGUCUUGUACACACCGA
rnacentral:rRNA from 1 species